GGACGUCGAAGGUUAAAAUCCUUCCUACUG
rnacentral:tRNA from 1 species